UCUCAAACGGUUGACCUCAAACACUC
rnacentral:piRNA from 1 species